rnacentral:rRNA from 1 species
UACGAAGGUCCCGAGCGUUGUUCGGAAUCACUGGGCGUAAAGGGAGCGUAGGCGGCGUGGUAAGUCAGAUGUGAAAUCCCGGGGCUCAACCCCGGAACUGCAUCCGAUACUGCCAUGCUAGAGUGAUGGAGAGGAGAUUGGAAUUUACGGUGUAGCAGUGAAAUGCGUAGAUAUCGUAAGGAAGACCAGUGGCGAAGGCGAAUCUCUGGACAGUUACUGACACUGAGGCACGAAGGCCAGGGGAGCAAACGGG